rnacentral:rRNA from 1 species
UACGUAGGGAGCGAGCGUUAUCCGGAUUUACUGGGUGUAAAGGGCGAGUAGGCGGGCUGGUAAGUUGGAAGUGAAAUGUCGGGGCUUAACCCCGGAACUGCUUUCAAAACUGCUGGUCUUGAGUGAUGGAGAGGCAGGCGGAAUUCCUAGUGUAGCGGUGAAAUGCGUAGAUAUUAGGAGGAACACCAGUGGCGAAGGCGGCCUGCUGGACAUUAACUGACGCUGAGGAGCGAAAGCGUGGGGAGCAAACAGG